UGGAUGUGCCCCUGACAUAAUAUACCCUUCUCAUCUAUGCAAGAAAUAAGAUCCAAUCAGAUAGUUUUAUGAAAACAAAAUCUAAAGUCGAUGCCUCCAGAAGACCCCAUCAUUAAAGACCCCUCACACCCUCUCCAUGAACUGUUUGUUCGUCUGCCAUCAGUUUUUCCAAGGCUCGAUAAGAAGAGCGAGAUCGAUGGUCUUUCAAUGCCAGUGCAUAUGCAGUUAUAGCCAAUACAAGUGUACUCUUCACAUUCUCCAGGUUGUUUGAUAAGUAUUCAUUGGCUAUACUAUCUGACCUGCUGUGAUCUCCAGCGUACUUCCAUUGUAAAGAAGAUGAUGAAUUGAAAAGUAAUUACAUACCACCACAUGCAACUUAAGCACUGUAACUUCAUUUACAGUAUAUUCAGUAUUCAGUGUGAAAUUUAUGCUGUGGACACCUAUUUUCAGGGGUAGUAUAGUGA